rnacentral:lncRNA from 1 species
UUUUUUUUGGCACCAUUCCUCGGAGCUCAUAUCGAUUUUUUUUUUUUACGUCGUGCAACUAAAAUAUAAAAUUAUCUUCUGUUUUUCGAUUGAAACUACCAGGGUUGAAUCGAGUGUUCGACGGAAUGCGCGUGAGAAGCACUUGGGAGUAUCGUACAAACUUCUCGACGGUGAAAUAUGAUGGCACACACAGACAUGCUUGCAGAGAUUCUGUGGAUAAAUCCAGGGAUUCAUUCUUUGUUGAUCCUUAAAGGACUAUGGAACCUCCAAUGGUUUGAACAAGAACACAGUAAUUCUCUAUCAGAGACGAGUCUCGAAUUCUACAAUAGACCGGUUUAGGCAGCAGAAACAACAACAUUCACAUAUGAUGUAGAUGAUGAAGGUAGCCAGCCAAGAGAGCGAGAUUAUUUGGGUCCCCAGGAGUCCAGGUAGAUGAUCUUGGACAUCGAAUCCUCGGUGCGCCUGGCUCUCUCCACCGCUUUCUCCCCUCCUCUCCUCCACUGAUCAAUGGAAGAAGAAGACAUCCUCUUGGCCCGAGAGAACGGCGCCAUGCUGCGCUUGGCACGCCCGUGGAGGGACCUGAGCGCGUAGUUCCAUCGACACAGGCCCGCCUGAUCCUUGAGCGCCUCCACCGCCGCCACGCUCGCUGCGACGAUCAGCGAAGCCUUGCUUGCCGAAGCCAUAUGUAUCAAUCUACUACUCAGUAGUUUGAACCUGUGAUGAGUUGCAAAUGUUACAGAAGUGGGCGACGGGGAAGGGAAACACAAGCGUCCAUAUAAAGCCCCCGAGGAAGGGAAAACAGGGGAUGAGAUUGCCGCUGGUUUCGGCUCAUAGUUGUUUCCCAGAUACAAGGGGAGGCUUUUGCUUGUUUACGGAUAAGACUGUGACUGCAUUGGAAUCAGUGAGACGGAUGGUUUGGUAGGAGAAAACGUGUGGCUAAAGUAGAACAAAAGGCACACGGAUCGGAGACCUGUGGGCGGCACCAGUAAACCGGGAAUCUAACGGUUGAUCAGCCAUCCUUGCUUGGCUUGGCGAUCCUGUCGAGAUGUGAGGUUUGGUCUCUCUCUAUCUCUCUCUCUCUCUCUCUCUCACACACACAUCUUUGAGUCGAGCAACUGCGGAUGGAUUCCCUUCUUACUCCUGUUUUUGUUUCGGUAACAAAGGUCACUCAGCAUCAGUCUCUUGCUGGAUCGAUAAUAGUAUCUAUCUAAAACAAAUUCUCUCUUUUUUUAUUGUUCUUGUAUGAGCUGAAGAUAAAGAAAGGGAUAAACAUUGGUGAGAGAUGGGAGAGAGUGAUCUUUCGAAGAUGUGAUUGAUUUAGCAUAGCUUCUGCCGAUGGAUUUCAUGUCAUCCUUUGCUCCUUUUAAUCAGUUCCAUCGAAUAUAUAUGAGAUAAGACGAGAAAUGCCACAAACAUCUUGAACAAACUUAUCCAUGCCAUGAAAAGGCCUCAUCAUGUUCGAACAAUUCAGUAUAUAUUACUGCAAAAUCGGAUUGUUUUUACAUAGGAGACGUAGGCUGAACAGAGAAGAAGGAUUUGGUUCAUCUUUGAACCAAACACAAAGACACCUCUCUCUAAUUGGGACCCCAACAGCUCAAGUACACGACCGUCCUCAGUGCCUCCUCUGCUUGCUUGGCCUUCGCAUCCGCCGCCUGCCACUCUCUCCUCGUGUCGAUGGAGGAAGAUGUCCUCUUGGCCCGAGACAAGGAGCCUACGGUGUUGUUCUUCGUCCGCUGCUGCA